UAUCAGUGUAGGAUUGGAGAAGAAUUGUAAAGAAUGAUCAACUCCCUGAGAAUGAUAGAACAGUGAAGCAUUCCAGAACUUUUCACUUGAAAGUAAAGAAGAUUCGGCAGCAACAGGAAUAGAAGUGCAUUGUUGAUGCGUAACCCAUAGCUGGCGGAUCAUUGUGCUGAGUAGCAUAUGGGCAUGGUCGGUGACAACUACAGUACCUGUAGAAAGGUUGUUCAGUGGUCUCCCGGUUAAGACACCAGGCUAGUUAUCUGGAGGUUGUAUGUUCUAAACCACCUAAAUCAAUUGCAAAAUUUUCUUUACAAGAAUUUUGGAUCGUACUGAGU